ensembl:lncRNA
CUAUUUUUCCCGAUCAAAUACUGGGAACUAUUUCAAAUUCUGUUUUCUUCCUGUUUUGGCAUUACAACACGCUUUCGAGUGAUACAUGUUCGUUAGAUGUUUCUCCUUAACGUCUCCCCAACUUGGAUCGAGCUGAAACAAACAGGAGCUGAGGUUGCUUGUUUAAGUCAAAGCUUCAGGAGAUCACCAUAUUUUCAGGACCAGUAAUUUCUGUCUCAAGCUCACUGUCUGACUGCUCUGCUUCCCAGUGAGAAGGCACCACAGAGAGGUAGGGGGAUCUGCUGAGGAGCCAUGGCCAUGUUCCAUAGCCAUGCACCUGCUGAGGAGCCAUGGCCAUGCUCCAUAGCCAUGCACCUGCUGAGGAGCCACAGCCUGCACCGUAACAUCACACUGGAUGCAAAAUAAAGAAGCCUUAAUCUCCUUACUGGAAAUUGUACUAUUUAUGCAGCAAAUCCUGCCUCUGAAAUUGCUUGAGAUCACAAGUUACGUAACGUAAACAGAUGGAGUUGGACCAUUUUUUUGGUAUGUCAAUUCAUAUUAUAAUCUGAGCAGGCUGUGAUCGUUUAUCAGCUCAUUUGCAGUGCAGAGAAAUAGAUGGAGGAGUUUAAAUAUGCAGUUAAUAUACGCUUGCACAGGGAUGCUUAUGCCCGCAACAAGACCAUCACUAAAUAGCAAUGAUAAUAAUGCU